UAAUAAUGAUGGAGACUUUGAAGACGAAUCUCCUCCACUAGAUUCUGCGAGAAGCUCUUUCUCUCUUGCUCUCAAAGAAUGCCAGGAUCGGAGAUCCAUAUCUGAAGCGCUAUCGAAGAAGCUAGAUAGAAGAAGACUAGCUUCGUUGGAUCUAAACAAUGCUACAACCGCCGCCGCCGCGUCAUCGCCGCGAUUGGCAUCGAUGAAAAAGGCCUCGACGAUUUCGUCUCGGAAAUCCGGCGGUACGUUUCCGAGUCCCGGUACGCCGAAUUAUCGGCACGCGAGUGUAGGGAUGCAAAAAGGUUGGAGCUCAGAGCGAGUACCAUCGCACUCGAACGGUGGUGGUGGUGGUGGCGGUGGUAACCGUAGACAACUAGCUACUAGUACUUCGUUGUUUUGGUUCGUUUUGAGUUUGAGUUUCCAUUCUUUGCUUUGGCUUUCUCUGAUUUCUGGCUUUGGUUUUUAUUUUUUUUAUUUUUUAAAUAAUUUCUGGGUUUGUGUUCU